rnacentral:lncRNA from 1 species
UAUUAGCGGCAAUUGAAUAAUUGCCAAGAUUAACCAUUUUUUUUCUCGGCAAUUAAAAAAAAUGGCCACUAAAAGCUUAUGCCUUGUAUAGAGCGGGACUUUUUUUGCCCUCCCUCAAAAUUAUUUUUCAUUUCCCUCCUUAACAUUCAUAAGUAGUAUUCAUUCUUUCAUGCCCUUUUCAUAGUAUUCAAAAUCCAAUGAAACCCUAACGCCCAAAAUUCUAAUUCCUACUCAAUUAUUACCCGCUUAUUCAUCAUCAAUUUCAUCAUCUUCCUAAAAAUACUAUUCGACAGAGAUCCUUUAUUUUUCCUAUUAAAUAAUAAAGAAACAUCAGAAUAUUUGAUGCUUUGUUCUUGCUACAUCUACAUGUCAACAGUUUCGGUUACUGAUGCAAAGUAGUUGCUUGCUAUAUCAGUGGGAUUCGAAGCGCGAAAACGCCCUUUUUCUGUAAUUGAGGAAGCCAAGUGCAGGUUAUGCUCCCUUAUAAUAUUUUUUUUAUUUUAUGUAUCUUAAUAAAUUGCAAUUGUCAACACUUUUCGGCAUCAGGUACUUUGUGAAAUGUUAUUGAUUUUGUGGAAAAUUUAUUUUUAUUUGAUUUUAUAGUCAUGUUCUUUUGGUUGUUGCAUUUUUUGUUAGGAGAAUGAAAUUUAAUCUCGAAAUACAAUAGAUCUAAAAAGAAAAAAAAAUCUUGACAAACAGUACCUAAAGGAAGUAUUAAGAUAGAAAGCUUCAGUAUGUUAGUAGAAACAAAGAACUAUAGCUAUGUAGUUACUAUGAAUCGUUCUAAAUUUUCUUAUUGUUGCUAAGUUAGAUAAAAUAAAGGAGGAUAAACUAAUAUUUCUAGUAACCUACUCCAUAUAAAUUCAUGAGUUUUUGAGUAGGAACAACUUGAUUUUCAGGUUUCUGGAAAGAAACUUUUGCUGGUUACUUGAUGAAGUUUCAUUCCAGGUAAUGAUUAAUUUUCACGCAUCUGAGAGGAAUAGAUUGGAGGGACCUACUUUCGAAAUCGGUCUGGAAUCCCUAUGUGCAAUGGUUUGUAAAAUUUUGAAAUUUAAAGGGUUUAUUGUGAAGUAGAAAUAUCUUGAAAUCAUGUUGGUGCUAUACAACUAUGCUAAGAUAUAGACAUUAUGGCAGAUUAACGACAUUCUUCAUAUUAUUUGAUGUUUAUAAGACAAAAUAAAUAUGAGACAUGACAACUAGUAUUGAGUUCUUAUGCAAUAUUUACUCUAGCCAUGUGACUUAGACUACAGAUUUCAAUUUGCUCUUUUGAUGAACUAUUUGUUUAAAUUACUCUUUUCGAACAAGGGGAUAUAGUGUAGUUUCAUAUGAAUGCUUCAUGUUGGGGGAUAAAGAAGAUGAAAGUUAAAAAAAGCGUCAUACUUUUACUUAUUGUUGAGGUGAUGUGAUGUGGCAAAGAUUUAAGUAAAAUUUUCUAAUUUGAAUGUAUUACCUAAAGUAGUUUUUAUGAGGCAACCUGUUGUCCAUUAAAUGUCCUAGGAAGUUGAUUGCCUUUUUUAACACUUUGACGCAUUAACUUAAAAAAUAAUGGCAAAGUAAGUUAGACUUCCACUUCUGACAACCUUAGACAACAAAUUUAUUUUGUGUUAAAUGUGAUUUUGGUACAUUUUGAUGUCAAAAUCACUUCUUGAAUACGCCAUUUGUGAUUCUAUUUUUAGGUUAAGUUCACAUUCUUCAAAGGGGUACUUUGUUCUAAUUGUCAUAUACUUUUUUCUUCAAGGGGUACUUCCAAUUGGCAUGUACUUUUUUCUAAUUGUCUAAUGUAGCUCUCAAUAGAGUGAGGAUUGAAGAUGGUGAGAAUUUUGUUCUAAUCAGAUAUAUGUCGUCCUGUUUCCAUUCUUGCAUAGGUAGAUGUGGAAACUAUUACAAGAUACUAGGGAAGCUAUUUGAUGUUCAGUGCAAAAGUUGAAUACUAAUCUUGUUGUACUAGGUUAUCAUGUGAACUUGGAAAUUUAAAAAGUUUGUUUUCCAUCCAUGGUGCUGCACUGCAGUUAUUAGAUAGGUUUCUGCUACUGAGCAUGAAUUAGUUGAUCUUUCAAUAGGAUACUUCUAGUGUUAGUUGAUACUUAAGAUCUUUCAAUAGGAUCCAUGGUGCUGCACUGCAGUUAGGAUACUUCUUCUUCUCCUCUUUAUUAGUGUUAUACCAAUAUCAUUAAAAUGUUUGAUGGAGAAAAACUGGCUCAUAAUAUCUAGCUUGAUUAUUGUCAUAGACAAAUCAUUUUCAUUUUUCCUUCUUUACUUUUCUGAAGUUUAGAUGCAGUGCUAGUCGUAAAGAAACCUGAAUGAAAAUUAGCUCCUAAUAUGAGAAUUUCUAUUCUCAAACUAUCAUUUUCCCUCGAUGUUCCACUUCUAAAGAAAAGAAUAUAUAUUCUUUCUAUUUCAUAAUAGCACUACUUUGAAAUGACUUCUAUGAGUUCUUGCAACUUAUAAAGCGCUUUCUCAUGGAGAACGUAAUAUGAGAACCUGAUUUGGCAAUAUGGUCAAUGAAUAAUAUGAUGAAGAACUGCAGUAUUAUAAUAUCAUUCCGUUUUAUAUUUAUUUUCUGCUAGUAGCAACUGCAAUUUUUAUUUCUGUUGAGUUUGGUGGAGAUUUUUCUUAAGUCUCUUAUUGAAGGUAGGUUUCUAUAUUAUAAUAUGCUAAAGAUAUUUACUUGGUCCAAUUGUUUCCUAAUCUGUUGAUAUUUAUAAUAGGUCCCUGAUGAUCCAUGUCAAGAAAAUAUAAUUGAUCCCUUAUGCAAAUAGUGACGAUGAACGAGCAACACAAGGACUACUACUGUCAUUUCAAAGUAAAGAUUUCUUUUCUUUUUUGUAUUUGAAUAUAUGUUGCUAAUCUCCGCUCUACAGCUUCCUAUCCGUCCAUGGUAUAAUAAAAGAAAUAUUUGGUUCUUAACUCGUUAUUUUCAGUCCUCUCCUCUCGUUUGUGUAACUAUUUAAUUGUUCUAGAAAAAAUAGUAGAACUUGUUUGUAUUGGUGAGCGUCUAAUAUGGCAAUCUCCUCUCUCUUUUCUUAAUAUUCUAUUAUCCGGAAUCUAUCUUAUUGAUAAUUAGAUAGGAAUAACUAAUUUCAUGAGAUUGUUAGCUUGGUCCAGAUACAGUUAGGAUUUUUGCCAUUUCACAUAGUUGCAGUAGAGUGGCAGUCCGAGCAUGUGAUUUUAUUAGUUUAGAUAUCUAGUCUUGUGAAAAUUAACUUAAAAGUAUUGUUGCUCUAUUUCUAGUUUUGGUUCUUAGAUAGUGCAGUUGUUAGUUUAUUUCUACAUAGAUAUAUUUUUUGAAAUAUUGAAAGAUUGUUGAGAUCCUGAAAAAUCAACCUUCUGCUCUUAACAACGACAACGACAACGACCCAGUAUAAUCCCACAAGUGGGGUCUGGGGAGGGUAAUAUGUACGCAGACCUUACCCCUACCCCGAAGGGUAGAGAGGCUGUUUCCAGGAGACCCUCGGCUCAAAAAAGCAAUAGGAGAUGAUAUAUUAGUACCAUAAAAAUGCGUAAUAAAAAUAACAACAAUAUAUAAGAGAUACGAAAUAUGAAAUACACGAUAUGAAAUACGAAAUACGAAAUAGAUGGCUUGUAUAGUACAACUAGAAGCCUACAAGAGAUUCUAUUUUUUCCCCAAUCGUGAUGUCUUAAAAGCCUACAGGUGAAACAGACAAGUUAAUGAUCAACCUAAUGCUUUGACACCUACCAAAAUCUUCGGUGCAUACUUUGUUGCUUAAUUUCAUAAGUGCUCGAGGCUAUUUGAUGAUCAUUGGUUUUAAAUUACUUGUGCAAUAUCACACCAUUCAUGGCUUACUACCACACCAAAAGAAAUACUAAUUUCAUGCUUUGAUUUAUUUCCUGUAAAGGUACUGAUAUAUGCAAGGCAUAUAUCUUUGGAGACUAGUUGCGAGAUAUUAUAUGGUCUUGGGAAGGCAAACAACUAUUACUCGAACGUUUAGCCAGAGAUUAAGUGGAUCUUCAGACAUUUUUCGUGUGGAAGGCUUCAUCAUGAUCAAGAGUUAGAGAAAAUUUAAUAUGUAUUUGUUGUAUUGUAUUAUAGCUAUUUGAUAAUAUCAGUUAUUAGACCAAAUGGUACUAGCUAUUAGAUUCAAACAGUUUACUUUUUUGGUUAUGUAGUUGGCACUAUGAAAUUAUGAAUUAAUAGUUAUUUUGCUUAGGAUUUAAUAUAGUGCAUUAAGCUCUUUUGAAUGAA